GGCUUAUUGAUAAUAAUUUUAGGUCCAACCUGCCCAAUGAUGAGUAUUAUUUAAUGGCCGCGGUAUAUUAACCGUGCAAAGGUAGCAUAAUCAUUAGUUUUUUAAAUGAAAGCUGGUAUGAAUGGUUUGAUGAAAAAAUAGCUGUCUCUGUGUAAUUUAUUUUGAAUUUUAUUUUUAAGUGAGAAAGCUUAAAUUUUUAUAGAAGACGAGAAGACCCUAUAGAGUUUUAUAUUUAUGUAUCUAAAAAUUGUUUGGAAUUAUAAAUUUUAUUUAUAUAUUUAUUUAAUUGGGGUGAUUGAAAAAUUUAAUUAACUUUUUUUAUUUGUAAUCAUUUAUUUAUGAAUUAAUGAUCCUUGUUUUAAGAUUAAAAGAUAAAAUUACCUUAGGGAUAACAGCGUAAUUUUUUUAAAAAGUUCUUAUUGAAAGAAAAGAUUGCGACCUCGAUGUUGGAUUAAAUUUUAUUUUUGGUGUAGAAGCUAAAAGAUUAGGUCUGUUCGACCUUUAAAAAUUUACAUGAUCUGAGUUUAAACCGGUGUGAG
rnacentral:rRNA from 1 species